AACUUUGGUUGCAUGCUUUUAACUUUUUGGAUAAAAUUUCUUUCGCUUAUUUUUGUUUUUCAAAAUUGACGUCUUCUAAAGUAAAUUUUUGCCGAAUACCAGCGUUGAACAACAUUUGGGAGUAGAGAAAUAAACUCCUUCGUUAGCUAUUAAUCUGGGAUUAGCGUUAAUCGGCUUUCGAACAACUGGGCCCUGGACGAUAAUAUUGGUCACGCGGACAUGCUGAUCAAAGCAAAUUGUUCCUAUUCUCAACACAUUCACUGAUGCUUGAUCUUUGAAAGGGAGGUCGAGUCUCACAACACAUCUGUUUUUCACUCGGUGCUCCUCCGGCGACACCUGAUGAAAUGUUACAAAGCUGCUGAUUGCGGAAUUUAUGGCUUAGCAUCUUUGCCGACAAAGAAAACCUUCCGCACGAGUGGAGACACCCAGAACGGCUGUGGAAGCUUCAAAAAGAGAUUACAAACAGCGGAGAUUUGAAGUAUCCCACGGAAAUCGGGAUAACUCUUGAAAACGCGGCUAAUGGUCACUAUCUUAUAAAGCCAACGGUACCUGUGACACUUAAGACUUUUAUACAGAUGCUACGAUGCCUCCCUUGGAAGAAGAUGUACUCAUUCGCAGAAGCGAACGCCUUACACUGGCAAUUACGACAAUAACGAAUAGCUAGUUGUUUAUAAUAUACCUAUAACGUGUUGAUGAAUUGCAACCUCUGGAUUCAACUUUAAAAAAUUUGCAUGGUCACGUUUGCGUGUAAUGCGAUUGAGAAUUUCUUGAAAUAGUCAGGAUUACAGUUUUUGAAAAUAGCUAGGCCUGCAUUAAUAGAGUUACUGGAAAAAUUGCUUGUUGACUUUCUUCUGAGUCGAAACUUUCCCUCACAUCACUGUUUUUUCAAUUAAAGGUCCUUAUUAUACGAGGGUGGCACGUGCCAGUUCAACUAGACUGAUAAACUUGUGGCCCUGGGUGCGCUCCUUAUCUACAAUUUGAACCUUUUCCACCUCACCCUCCCUCUCCCCCUUUAAAUGUUGACUGUUCAAGUUUCAUAAUGAUUUUGUAUUGCUAGCAACAUUGAUGAGGGGGGAGGGGGCCACAAUGUCCGCGAGAUGAGGUGAAUUAAUAAGGCCCCAAGAGGAUAAAGUGUCUCCACUAGUUUUUGCAACUCGUUGGAGAUCUUUUGAAAUUUUUUGAAAAAAUUGACACCACUAGAUACAUAUUUUUGUUACUUUACUGGACGUCGUUAUAUUUGGCUUCUUAAAGAUAAUGGGCAGCUUGGUUGGAAAAUAACGAAUCUUUGCAUUGCUAGCAGAGAUGAAACGAAUAGCUUGAUUUGUUGUUGUUGGCGUGCUCAAUUUUUAAAACAACUUUUUUCAAGAAAAGGGGUUUUAUUUGUGCACUGCUUUUUUUUUUUACAAUUUAAAUUUAUUUUUAAUUGAAUCGUUCUUGGAAAAAGUAUCGUUAACGGUAGUCUGCAAAGCUUUUGCUUUUUUCAAUCACCCGUCGAACAUAAACAGUAAUAAUACCGAUCCCGUUGUCAGCUUUAUUAUGACAUACCCAUAUGAAGGUCAAAAGUCAAAGCAGGACUUUUGCAUGCGCAUGCUCCAGGUUUAAAUCCCGCCCAGACCGUUCGCGGGAUUUGUCCUCGGUGGUCCCGAAUACAACUCCACUACGCUUUGUAUAUAUCCUCUGUCAGUUGGAUUCCUCAGGUUUCAUUGUUGUGUUCAUUCUACUUAAGUCCUCAGAGGCUCGUGAUUAGAUGUUGACUCAAAUUGCAUGAACCCCACGAGGUGUCCUGUUAAGUUUAGUAAGUGUAAAACGCUAGUUGGUAACUUUAGAGUCAGCGUUCGCAUUGAUUGAACAAUUCUAGGUUACGUUUGGGAUUUCUACUUUAAUUUGCUGGGUUUGAAAAUACAAAA